rnacentral:rRNA from 1 species
UCAGAUGAACGGGCAGGCCUAACACAUCAAUGAGCGGAUGACGGAGCUUGCUCCGAUCAGCGGCGGACGGGUGAGUAAUGUAGGAAUCUGCCUGGUAUGGGGGAAACGUUGAAAGACGCUAAUACCGCAUACGUCGGAAAGCAGGGGACCUUCGGGCCUGCGUAUCAGAUGAGCUAGUCGGAUUAGUAGUUGGUGGGUAAUGGCUCACCAGGCGACGAUCCGUAAUGGUCUGAGAGGAUGAUCAGUCACACUGGAACUGAGACACGGUCCAGAUUACGGGAGGCAGCAGUGGGGAAUAUUGGACAAUGGGGAAAGCCUGAUCCAGCCAUGCCGGUGUGUGAAGAGUUGGAUGUAAAGCACUUUAAGUUGGGAGGAAGGGCAGUAAGUAAUACUGCGUUUUGACGUUACCGCAGAAUAAGCACCGGCUAACUCUGUGCCAGCAGCCGCGGUAAUACAGAGGGUGCAGCGUUAAUCGGAAUUACUGGGCGUAAAGCGGUGUGGUUGUUAAGUUGGAUGUGAAACCCCGGGCUCAACCUGGGAACUGCAUCAAAACUGGCAGCUAGAGUGGUAGAGGGUGGUGGAAUUCUGUGUAGCGAAAUGCGUAGAAUAGGAAGGAACACCAGGCGAAGGCGCCCC